rnacentral:rRNA from 1 species
UACGUAGGGCGCGAGCGUUGUCCGGAAUUAUUGGGCGUAAAGAGCUCGUAGGCGGCCGGUUGCGUCUGCUGUGAAAUCCCGGGGCUUAACCCCGGGCGUGCAGUGGAUACGGGCAGACUAGAGGUAGGUAGGGGAGAAUGGAAUUCCCGGUGUAGCGGUGAAAUGCGCAGAUAUCGGGAGGAACACCGGUGGCGAAGGCGGUUCUCUGGGCCUUACCUGACGCUGAGGAGCGAAAGCGUGGGGAGCGAACAGG